rnacentral:rRNA from 1 species
UGGCGGACGGGUGAGUAACGCGUGGGUAACCUGCCCUGUACAGGGGGAUAACAGUUAGAAAUGACUGCUAACACCGCAUAAGCGCACGGUAAGGCAUCUUAGUGUGUGAAAAUAUUAAUAGGUACAGGAUGGGCCCGCGUCUGAUUAGCCAGUUGGCAGGGUAACGGCCUACCAAAGCGACGAUCAGUAGCCGGCUUGAGAGAGUGAACGGCCACAUUGGGACUGAGACACGGCCCAAACUCCUACGGGAGGCAGCAG